rnacentral:rRNA from 1 species
UACGUAGGUCGCAAGCGUUGUCCGGAUUUACUGGGCGUAAAGAGCGCGCAGGCGGCUGGUCAAGUCCGAUGUGAAAUCUCCCGGCUCAACUGGGAAACUGCAUCGGAAACUGAUCGGCUUGAAGAUGGGAGAGGGUAGUGGAAUUCCCGGUGUAGUGGUGAAAUGCGUAGAUAUCGGGAGGAACACCAGUGGCGAAGGCGACUACCUGGCCCAUGCUUGACGCUGAGGCGCGAAAGCUAGGGGAGCGAACGGG